rnacentral:rRNA from 1 species
CCUACGGGGGGCAGCAGUCGAGAAUCAUUCACAAUGGGGGAAACCCUGAUGGUGCGACGCCGCGUGGGGGAAUGAAGGUCUUCGGAUUGUAAACCCCUGUCAUGUGGGCGCAAAAUAAAAAGAUAGUACCACAAGAGGAAGAGACGGCUAACUCUGUGCCAGCAGCCGCGGUAAUACAGAGGUCUCAAGCGUUGUUCGGAAUCACUGGGCGUAAAGCGUGCGUAGGCUGUUUCGUAAGUCGUGUGUGAAAGGCGCGGGCUCAACCCGCGGACGGCACAUGAUACUGCGAGACUAGAGUAGUGGAGGGGGAGCCGGAAUUCUCGGUGUAGCAGUGAAAUGCGUAGAUAUCGAGAGGAACACUCGUGGCGAAGGCGGGUUCCUGGACAUUAACUGACGCUGAGGCACGAAGGCCAGGGGAGCGAAAGGGAUUAGAUACCCUGGUAGUC